UUCUGAUGACAGAUCACGCGUAAAGACUCGACGUUAUCAUCGUGACAUAAUUAGCAGUAUUGACUUCUGAGUUGACUAAUGAGAGAAUGGAUACUUUGUGACUAAAUGUAUUAUAAGAAUUAAGCACACUUGUCAUACACUUGUUCAUAGCAUGUAAUUGUAUUAUUAUCGGGCAUCUAAUAUGCAUUCUCCAAUUGCAUGCCACCUUCGAUAUAGACACGACAUAGAAUUCUAAAUGUUCUAAUUUGUUCAUUAAGUUCGGAUGUGUAGAAGCAAAUAAACUUUGAAACACUAUAUAGUUCUACAUUUAUCUAACUUCAAAGUUCUUCGAUUAUGUUAAUGUGUGUUUUGUAAACUGUUGAUUAUAAAUAUCCUGACAAGUAUGUAAAUCGUUAACAUCGACAUAAAUAAUUGUCACACUGACAAGUUUAGAAUAAAUUGAUAGUAGGUAUAUACACAAUUAUUAUAAACGAGAAAUGUGAUUACUAUUUCAGCCACGAAGUAUCACCGAAUUACAUUAAAGAUGAAUUUUCAGAUGAAAAAAUCGUGGAGGUUGUUAACGCCAAACAUCUUACACAUAUAUUUAUAAUAAGUUAAUGGAAAAAUGGAUUUAUCGUUUAAUAAAACAAUGAUAUUAAAAUAAAUUUUGAAGGGGAAGUAUAAAUAAUAUUUCAUGAAUGUUUCAUGGUAAUAAAUAAUUCUUUAAUAAUUUAACUCAUGUCACACUAUACAUUGUUAUAAUCGCAAUAUAAAACACAUUGUAGGAUUCGUUCAGUGGCAGUUUUCAACAACAAACAUACUCUGUCGAAUCAACUUUUAGAAUCAGGAAAAUCGAAAUUAACUAACCCUUCGCAAUCUUGCUACUUAAUAACGCAAACAUCGCAUAAUAUUAGUAGCUACCACUUCAUCGUCAAUAAGAAUUAAAUAUUCUACAGAAUGUCUCGUAUUUAUGUAGUACUAUGUACAGUUUAGGUAACUGUAAAUUAAUUUUACUUUGUCAACGACAAUUCAUGAAAUACAUAUUAAGAUAAGUAUAAUUGGCGGUUAAUACGAAAAGUGAUUCUUUUAUGCUAGGUUCUUUUUCCGAAAUGGUCUACGAAGGGUAGAUAUAUCGACAGUUUAAAAGCAUAUCUCUAAUAUAGAGACAAUGAACAAGAAUUCCUAUAUUAAUUUAUACAGGGUGUUCCAUCGAAAGGUUAUUAGUUAUACGGAAAAAUGCAGAAAGAGUUUCAAACGAUGCAAUUCUUUUUAAUAAUUUUAUCUAAAGAGGCACAGUUUUGGAAACAUCCCGUAUAAUAUUUUACAUUAGAAAAAUUGUGUUUGCUUUGAAAUGGUCGCCGAUUCUUACUUUAGAAAAAUAUAUCAAUUAUGUUUUUGAGUAACAAUCGACAUUCAAAUCGCAUUUCCUAUUAUUCGUACAUAUACAAAUUCAUUUUACAUACAUUCACACAUACGCGCGCGCACGCGUACCAUAUACAUUCAGAGAAACUCGCUAAUAAACGAAAAUUAAAUUAAUUUAGCGUUUGAUUCUUCUGCAAAGUUCAACUCUUCGUUUCAAAUAUUACUAUUUUAUAGAUCGUCUCAUUUUACAUGCAACAAGGGUAUCAUCUCUAGUAUUAUAUUCAAUAAUACAUUAAUAAGUCAUAAUAUCGAAAAUGACGUUACUCUUAUUACUGCUAAUUACCCUUUGAAUAUUGCAGCAUACAUUGCAUUCUAUUAAAAGCUUCAAGUUCGCGGUAAGAAAUCAUAGUAGAUUACUUUAUCACGAUAGAAAAGCAAUUUGCAAAUCAAUGGUAUAUUCAUUGGCAAUGAACUGUUUUAGAAUUCUAGUACUAUUGAAGAACGAAGAGUCAAAUCAACGCUUUUUAAAAUCUAAUACUGCCUUACGAUUUCUUCAUUGAAGCCGACUUAAUAUCAUUCUUGCUAUUCUUAAUCAGUUUUAAGUUUGAAACAAUGAUUUCCAGGUUUCCAAAAGUCUACAAGUUUGCCACUACUAAGGAACGCUGUCAAUCAUUGUUCAAAAAAUAUCAAAACCGACCGAGUUCUAUGUAUAUACAAUUUAAUAAUCAAUGUCUGAAAAAUCUGUAAGACAUUUUCAAAGCAUUAAAAAGGCUAUCAUAAUUACAAGAAUAUGGUUCUUAAAUUAUAACAGGUUGGUUACAGUUGGUUACAAUAUUAUAAUAAAAUUAUCAAAUUUAAUUCAUCUUCCUAAUACGUCUUUUUUAAUGCUCCAAAAACUACUUAUCAAGACUUACGAUCAAAUGGAGUUUCAGAUCCAAGAGAAACUUAAAAACAAAUAGUUUUAUCGAUUACUUAUGAAGAGGAAUCAUCAAAGACUGAUUGGUCCGAGCAGGGUAUGUAAAUGGUACCCUGUCUUUCAAGAAAAUUUUAUAUAAGGAGAAACUCGGUCGAAUAAUCAAUCUUACAAUAUUAUGCUCUUUACUGACUAUGAACAAAAUUAUACGCUUUCAUCUAA